ensembl:snoRNA
GGUGCAUGUGAUGCUUAAUGCGAUCAAAGUAUGACAAAGCAUGAUUCCAGAUUUUAAACUACUGAUGCACC